CUGUGGCCUGGCGUUGGGAGAAGAUGUGUGAGGGUCAGUGCUGGUCGUGGGCGAGAAGGAAAAGGUGCAGCCUGUGCUCUCACUGGUCGGGCGCGGGGAGACCGUCGAGCAGGCAGCGUGGCUGCUGAGGGCCUUGGACGGGUGCGGAGGCGUUCCACGGGUCUCGGGAGGCUGGGGUGAGGAACGCGUGUCUGGUCGAAAGGGUGACAGGCUCGGGUCCCUCCUUGUGCUCUUCCCUUGGGUCUUCUGGAUCUGAGGCCCCAGACCAAAUCUGCUUGCUGACCAUUUAGCACAUUAAGCGUUAUCUGCGCGCUUCCACGGCCACGUCCACACUCCAGCCACGGCAGCAAGUCACUGUGAUGGAGACGACGUGGCCUGCAAAGUCCAGGCACAUGUUGUGUCUGGCCCUGGGCAGAGAGUGCCCAGCCCCAGGACGUCUAGGCCGUCAGCGGUGGUGCCAACUCUCAGCCAUCACCCCUUGUCCCCGCAGAAGAAAAGGCAGUAAAAGACGAACCGAUGUGUGAAUGAAGACAAAGAUGAUGUUGAAAGUGGCCCAUGAAACGGAGACCAGACAAAAGCGUAAAAGCUAAGGCGCCGUUAGAAAACAACAGGCCAGGGUCCGAGCCCAGGCCUCUGUCUGAAUCCUUCCUCUGUAAGUGCCUGGGCAGUGCCAGGGCCCCUGGCCAGGACGGAGGCCUCGAGGGCCGAGGAAUCCCUUGCAUCCAGCCUGUGACACGCACACACUCCNACGGAGGCCUCGAGGGCCGAGGAAUCCCUCGCAUCCGGCCUGUGACAUGCACACACUCCCUUCUUCUCGUCUGUGGUCGUGUCGCUGCUAAACUGGGCUGAGAAAAUCCAAGACAUGCAGGCUGCCGUGUGCCGAAAAAGCCAGACCCGCCUUGGUCUUGUUAUGGUACUGAGUCUGAGGAGGAAGAAAACGUCUUUGGGAACUUUGCAUAAACUUAAACGUGAGGGUCUUUGCCGUUUGCGAGGGUCGCCAUGGAGACAAGAGCGUGCGAUCAGCACGGCGACCCCUGUCAGCAUCCUCCCGCUGAAACUCCUACGUGUAACAUUAGGUGCGGCUGCUGCUGUGAAAAGACCGAGUGUGAAUGCGUGCACUGUCCUGAUGACAGUGGUGUUGAAUGGUAAGCUGACACCGUGCAGAUUCCCGCAGAGCUGACAUCUGGCCCUGCCCCGCUGCCUCCGCACGGGUGGGACAUCCUUGGGCGGCUCGCUCUUUGUUUCCUCCUGGGUCUCCGGCCUCCUUCGAGGGAGCCUCCCUGUGUCUUUGCUUUUUAGGGCUGCCUGGAGCUUCCUGCAGCUUCCUUGAAGGACACUCCGUGAGUUCGGUUGCUUCGUAUAAGAGAAAGGAAUCAUAUGCUUUCGUAACGACUCCCAUAUAUAGUUAAGAGCAGUGAUUUUGGUAGAUAACUGCCUUCGAAACAAGGCAAGCCUUCUUCCCUAACACGCGAAGUCGCAUCGCAUAACCUGCCGCACACUCUGUCUCUAGAAUGGAUCUGUAUUUAGAAAUAAAGGAUUCCCAAAUGUGUGACA
ensembl:lncRNA